GCUCGCAUAGCUCAGUUGGUAGAGCGCGGCACUAGUAAUGCCGAGGUCAACGGUUCAAAUCCGUUUGUGAGCA
rnacentral:tRNA from 1 species